GCGGCUUUAGUAUAUCGGUUAGUAUGUGACCUUCCCAAGGUCGAGAGCGGGGUUCGAUUCCCCGAAGCCGCA
rnacentral:tRNA from 1 species